rnacentral:tRNA from 2 species
GCUAGCGUAGCUUAAUAAAAGCAUAACGCUGAAGAUGUUAAGAUGAGCCCUAGAAAGCUCCGCAAGCA